CACCCGUAGAUCCGAACUUGCGGGGCGACGGCCGCACACAAGCUCGCGUCUGUGGGUCUG
rnacentral:pre_miRNA from 1 species